rnacentral:rRNA from 1 species
GCAUAAUCAAUAGUUUAUUGAUUGUAAACUGGGAUGAAGGGUAGAAACUGAUAGGAAGGUUUUAUUUAAUGAAUUUGAAUUUAAAUUAAAAGUAAAAAUGCUUUUAUGAAUUUUUGGGACGAGAAGACCCUAGAAGCUUUUGAAGUGGAAAAAUUUUUUUAUUGGGGUAAUAUAUGAAAAGAAAAAUUUUUAUUUGAGAACAAGGAGCCCUAUGAUUUAGGUUUGUUGUCUAAAUUAUAAAAUAUUUUGGGUUUAAUAAUUUACUAUAUGAGUUUUUGUAAGUUACUCUAGGGAUAACAGCGUUAUUUAAUUAACAAGUUCUUAUUAAUAAUUAGGAUUGCGACCUCGAUGUUGAAUUAAAU